rfam:Pan troglodytes isolate Yerkes chimp pedigree #C0471 (Clint) chromosome 6, whole genome shotgun sequence.
CCAAAGGCUCUUUUCAGAGCCAACCACCUUUUCUAUAAAAGUUGCU